rnacentral:lncRNA from 1 species
UUAUCAUAAGAUAUAUAUGAUAUAUAACAAAAUUAAAAGUUUAACUUGAACUAUAAAGUUAUAAACUAUGUACAGUAUAUAAAUUUUGGAAACCAAAAAAUAAUGAACCACUGAGCACUUCCAUAUAAAAAAGAAUCCAAAAUAAAUUGUUUUUCCAAAGAAUAUAUAUUUGAUAUAUCAGAACUUAAAAUUGAACUUGGAACUUUAACUAUGUACAGUAUAUAUUUGGAAUUCAAACACUAAAUAGCCACUGAGCACUAAUAUUAUAUUAGCAUAA